GAACCCGGCGGGAUGCGUUCCUUGAACCCAGCGGCCAGGUUUACCCAAAAAGGCAAAGUCAACCCUGCAAAGAAUUCCGCUGCCUCCGAGGUGGUGUCCCAGUGCCAGGCACAGGGCGCAUGCCCCAGGGAGGCACCCAGCUGCCUCCAGCUCCACCGGGGCGAGUGGACCCGCUGCGGAUGGACGGACCCUUUGGCACGCCGGAGCGAGUGCCACAGCCCUGCUGCACUUGCAGCCCAAGACAGCUGGACCCUGGAGAUCUUUCCUCAGUGA
rnacentral:lncRNA from 1 species